GAUGAACGCUGGCGGCGUGCCUAAUACAUGCAAGUCGAGCGAACGGACGAGAAGCUUGCUCCUCUGAUGUUAGCGGCGGACGGGUGAGUAACACGUGGAUAACCUACCUAUAAGACUGGGAUAACUUCGGGAAACCGGAGCUAAUACCGGAUAAUAUUUUGAACCGCAUGGUUCAAAAGUGAAAGACGGUUUUGCUGUCACUUAUAGAUGGAUCCGCGCUGCAUUAGCUAGUUGGUAAGGUAACGGCUUACCAAGGCAACGAUGCAUAGCCGACCUGAGAGGGUGAUCGGCCACACUGGAACUGAGACACGGUCCAGACUCCUACGGGAGGCAGCAGUAGGGAAUCUUCCGCAAUGGGCGAAAGCCUGACGGAGCAACGCCGCGUGAGUGAUGAAGGUCUUCGGAUCGUAAAACUCUGUUAUUAGGGAAGAACAUAUGUGUAAGUAACUGUGCACAUCUUGACGGUACCUAAUCAGAAAGCCACGGCUAACUACGUG
rnacentral:rRNA from 1 species